rnacentral:rRNA from 1 species
CGGUAACAGGGGUAGCUUGCUACCCGCUGACGAGCGGCGGACGGGUGAGUAAUGCAUAGGAAUCUGCCCGGUAGUGGGGGAUAACCUGGGGAAACCCAGGCUAAUACCGCAUACGUCCUACGGGAGAAAGGGGGCUUCGGCUCCCGCUAUUGGAUGAGCCUAUGUCGGAUUAGCUAGUUGGUGAGGUAAAGGCUCACCAAGGCAACGAUCCGUAGCUGGUCUGAGAGGAUGAUCAGCCACAUCGGGACUGAGACACGGCCCGAACUCCUACGGGAGGCAGCAGUGGGGAAUAUUGGACAAUGGGGGCAACCCUGAUCCAGCCAUGCCGCGUGUGUGAAGAAGGCCCUCGGGUUGUAAAGCACUUUCAGCGAGGAAGAACGCCUGGUGGUUAAUACCCAUCAGGAAAGACAUCACUCGCAGAAGAAGCACCGGCUAACUCCGUGCCAGCAGCCGCGGUAAUACGGAGGGUGCAAGCGUUAAUCGGAAUUACUGGGCGUAAAGCGCGCGUAGGUGGCUUGAUAAGCCGGUUGUGAAAGCCCCGGGCUCAACCUGGGAACGGCAUCCGGAACUGUCAGGCUAGAGUGCAGGAGAGGAAGGUAGAAUUCCCGGUGUAGCGGUGAAAUGCGUAGAGAUCGGGAGGAAUACCAGUGGCGAAGGCGGCCUUCUGGACUGACACUGACACUGAGGUGCGAAAGCGUGGGUAGCAAACAGGAUUAGAUACCCUGGUAGUCCACGCCGUAAACGAUGUCGACCAGCCGUUGGGUGCCUAGAGCACUUUGUGGCGAAGUUAACGCGAUAAG